AUCCAGCUGGUGAGUCCAAAAAUAGGAUGAGACGCGCAUCCUGGAU
rnacentral:hammerhead_ribozyme from 1 species